AGAGUUUGAUCCUGGCUCAGGAUGAACGCUGGCGGCGUGUUUUAGGCAUGCAAGUCGAACGGGCACUUCGGUGUCCGUGGCAAACGGGUGCGUAACACAUUGGUAACCUGCCUCGAAGACGGGCACAACCUCGGGAAACCGAGGAUAAUACCCGAUACCUCUACUACUCGCAGGAGUAAUAGGGAAACGGUUUACUACUUCGAGAGGGACCUAUGGCUUAUCAGCUUGUUGGUGAGGUAAUGGCUCACCAAGGCUAUGACGAGUAGCGGGUGUGAAAGCACGACCCGCCUCACUGGGACUGAGACACUGCCCAGACUCCUACGGGAGGCUGCAGUCGAGAAUAUUCCCCAAUGGACGAAAGUCUGAGGGAGCGACGCCGCGUGAUGGAAGACGCUCUUCGGAGUGUAAACAUCUUUUCUUAGGGAACAAAGCAAUUGAGUGUACCUGAGGAAUAAGGGGCUGCUAACUUCGUGCCAGCAGCAGCGGUAAUACGAAGGCCCCGAGCGUUAUCCGGAUUUAUUGGGCGUAAAGCGUUCAAAGGUGGUUUUGUGUGUCAUUGGUUAAAUCCUACGGCUCAACCGUGGGACCGCCAAUGAAACCGCAAGACUUGAGGGUGGGAGAGGUAUGCGGAACUACCGGUGUAGUAGUAAAAUGCGUUAAUAUCGGUAGGAACACCAAUGGCGAAGGCAGCAUACUGGAACAUCUCUGACACUAAAGAACGAAAGCGUGGGUAGCGAAUGGGAUUAGAUACCCCAGUAGUCCACGCCGUAAACGAUGAUCACUA
rnacentral:rRNA from 1 species